rnacentral:rRNA from 1 species
GAAUUUUCCGCAAUGGGCGAAAGCCUGACGGAGCAAUACCGCGUGAGGGAGGAAGGCUCUUGGGUUGUAAACCUCUUUUCUCAGGGAAGAAGAAAUGACGGUACCUGAGGAAUAAGCAUCGGCUAACUCCGUGCCAGCAGCCGCGGUAAUACGGAGGAUGCAAGCGUUAUCCGGAAUGAUUGGGCGUAAAGGGUCCGCAGGUGGCAUUGAAAGUCUGCUGUUAAAGAGUCUAGCUCAACUAGAUAAGAGCAGUGGAAACUACAAAGCUAGAGUUUGGUCGGGGCAGAAGGAAUUCCUGGUGUAGCGGUGAAAUGCGUAGAUAUCAGGAAGAACACCAGUGGCGAAGGCGUUCUGCUAGGCCGAGACUGACACUGAGGGACGAAAGCUAGGGGAGCGAAUGGGAUUAGAUACCCCAGUAGUC